rnacentral:lncRNA from 1 species
AGAGAUCGUUCUCUGGAUUAUCGAAUCGGUUUGAUCUUUUGAUUUUCUUCUCAAGAGAAUCAAAUAGAUCUGUAGAAAGAAUUUGAAAUUAGAUCAAAUCUGAUUUUAAAUUUUACUUUUCUUUUCUCAAGAAAAAAAUCAAGAUCUACAGAAGAAGAUAAGAGAUCAGAUCUCUUUCUUCUUCCUACUUAUUCAAUCUUUGGACUAGAUCAUGAGGGGUG